rnacentral:rRNA from 1 species
AUUGAACGCUGGCGGCAUGCCUUACACAUGCAAGUCGAACGGUAACAGGUCUUCGGAUGCUGACGAGUGGCGAACGGGUGAGUAAUACAUCGGAACGUGCCCGAUCGUGGGGGAUAACGCAGCGAAAGCUGUGCUAAUACCGCAUACGAUCUACGGAUGAAAGCGGGGGAUCGCAAGACCUCGCGCGGACGGAGCGGCCGAUGGCAGAUUAGGUAGUUGGUGGGAUAAAAGCUUACCAAGCCGACGAUCUGUAGCUGGUCUGAGAGGACGACCAGCCACACUGGGACUGAGACACGGCCCAGACUCCUACGGGAGGCAGCAGUGGGGAAUUUUGGACAAUGGGCGAAAGCCUGAUCCAGCCAUGCCGCGUGCAGGAUGAAGGCCUCGGUGUAACUGCUUGUAUGGAGCAAUAAGGUUAACGUCGUAGACCGAUGAGAGUACCAUAUGAAUAAGACAUCGGCUAACUACCGUGCC